GCCGUGAAAGCCCUCGAUUCUUUGUCUAUCGACAGACGGCCUACGCACGGGAACGACGGACAUUUCUCAACUACUUAAUAUCCCCCCUUUACCUCGCUCCCUUAAGUUGACGCCUAUGCGCCUGCGCGGGGAUGACGAUUAC
rnacentral:antisense_RNA from 1 species